GACGAACGCUGGCGGCGUGCCUAAUACAUGCAAGUAGAACGCACAGUUUAUACUGUCGCUUGCUACACCAUAGACUGUGAGUUGUGAAAGGGUGAGUAACGCGUACGUAACCUGCCUGGUAGCGGGGGAUAACUAUUGGAAACGAUAGAUAAUACCGCAUAAUAUUAAUUAUUGCAUGAUAAUUAAUUGAAAGGUGGAAUUGCACCACUACCAGAUGGACCUGCGCUGUAUUAGCAAGUAGGUGAGGUAACGGCGCACCUUGGCGAGGAUACGUAGCCGAACGGCGAUGAUGGGUAGCCAGAUUGGGACUGAGACACGGCCCAGUGGCAUACGGGAGGCAGCAGGAGUGAUUCUUCGGCAAUGGACGAAAGACUGUCCGAGAAAGGCGGAGUGAGUGUGGAAGGAUGUCGGAUCGGAAAGCUCUGUUUUCAGGGAAGAACGGGUGUGCGAGUGGAAAGUUCAGACUGUGACGGUAUCUGACCAGAAAGGGACGGCUAACUACGUG
rnacentral:rRNA from 1 species